GCCGAUUAUCACAUGUAAAAGGGGAAAAAAAAUCCAGCCCGUUGUCUAAUUAAGCGGAGAUUGCUUUUGGGUGCAUCCAUGUGGAGAUUUGUCUUGACUUUGCUCCUUGUACAUUGAAGAAACUGGGGAGCAAGUGGAAGGCACUGUCACAGCCUCCACAAAUUGACAAUUAUGCAGAUUUCCCCACGCUUUAGACUAUAACUGUCAAUGGUCAUCAAGAACAAGUAGAAAACAGCGAGGUCACUAUAGAUAUUCCCCACAAGAAGCCGCCUGAAACCCACUAUUCCCCACUAGAAGCCGCCUGAAACCCAUU
rnacentral:misc_RNA from 1 species